rnacentral:rRNA from 1 species
CGUCUAGGUGGCCCGCCAAGUCAGAUGUGAAAUCCCUCGGCUCAACCGAGGAACUGCAUUUGAAACUGGCGAGCUCGAGUACUGGAGGGGCUAGCGGAAUUCCCGGUGUAGGGGUGAAAUCCGUAGAGAUCGGGAGGAACACCAGUGGCGAAGGCGGCUGGCUGGCCAGAUACUGACACUGAAGCGCGAAAGCGUGGGGAGCAAACAGGAUUAGAUACCCUGGUAGUCC